GGUUGUAUAGUGUAGUGGUUAUCACCUUGGAUUCUGACAGAUUCCAGUAACCCCGGUUCGAGUCCGGGUACGACCU
rnacentral:tRNA from 2 species